AAACCAACAGGGAUUGCCCUAGUAACGGCGAGUGAAGCGGCAACAGCUCAAAUUUGAAAUCUGGCCCUAGCGGUCCGAGUUGUAAUUUGUAGAGGAUGCUUUUGGUGCGGUGCCUUCCGAGUUCCCUGGAACGGGACGCCAGAGAGGGUGAGAGCCCCGUACGGUUGGACACCUACCCUAUAUAUAGCUCCUUCGACGAGUCGAGUAGUUUGGGAAUGCUGCUCUAAAUGGGAGGUAAAUUUCUUCUAAAGCUAAAUACCGGCCAGAGACCGAUAGCGCACAAGUAGAGUGAUCGAAAGAUGAAAAGCACUUUGAAAAGAGGGUUAAAUAGCACGUGAAAUUGUUGAAAGGGAAGCGUUUACGACCAGACCUUUUCUAGGCGGAUCAUCCGGUGUUUUCACCGGUGCACUCCGUUUAGUUUAGGCCAGCAUCGGUUUUUGUAGGGGGAUAAAAACCUGGGGAAUGUGGCUCCCUCGGGAGUGUUAUAGCCCUUCGUAUAAUACCCCUCCAGGGACCGAGGACCGCGCUUCGGCAAGGAUGCUGGCAUAAUGGUCGUCAACGAC
rnacentral:rRNA from 1 species